AAAUUUCCCCGUCAGCCUCACCAACUCUCCGACACUUGCAGGUGCUCCCCGGGAACUAGGAAAGGGACACAUCCUGCUCCUGUCCAGCUGAGGAAAAAUGCAGUAGGAAAACUGAAAAUGUGUAGGGAUGAGGAGACGCACCAGAAAAAAAGGAGUAAGGCGAUGGGAAGUGUAUAGAAUAGAGAUGCAGAGUAAAAGAGCCCCGAGGCUCCAAGCGAGGAUGGGGGGACCGGAGCCUCUCACCAGUGAACCGUCGAGGGGGUGGAGAGGGGGAAAUCCGCAGCCUGGGAUUGGCCGUCGCUCUGCCGGCCAAAGUGACGCGCGGCGGGCUGGCGUCCUUUGUGACGUCUACAAUCAGCUGUUUGAACAUUCCAAUUUGUGCCGUGACUUCCGCUGCUGCGGCCGGGGCACAGACACCAAGCCCCGCGGGCGAGCGCAGCAGCUCCAAGCAUCCGGCCGCUACCCUGCCGCCUCCCCGGCCCGGCUCCCGCGAUGCAGCCUGGCCUGUGAGCCGCUGGUCACUCUAGGACGCUCCGCCGCACAACUACCUCAGCGCCACCCCCUCCCGCCGCACCACUCUGCCCGUCGCACAGCUCUGCCUGCAGGUGAGUCCCGACCAGUUUGGGCCGGGGGGGUAUCCAGGCGCCCUGGGACACGCCCUGCGCCCCUCAGUGUCGGGGCCUUUGUCUGUCUCCGCGGGCGACCGCUGGGACUGCGUUCCCGGUUCCCGAUUGGUUGCCGCUCGCCGGUUGAUCGUGACGUCGCCCUAUUUGCAUAUGACAUUGGGACGUCACCAAGGCGCCAGCACCACCUCCCAAGCUUGGGUCGCUUGUCCUCCCCGUGACCUGGUGGGCACUGUGUCAGCCUGGGCCAAGAGUAAGAGACGCUGGACAGCAAGCGGGGUUCGAGGGGCCUCAGCGGGACUUCUGGGACUGGGCUCAGGUCUCUGUUUCCCUGGUUUCUUCUCCAGACCAGAGAGAAUGUCCGACAGCACGCUAGGUCUGGGGGGUUGAGGAGUUCGUCAGGAGGGUUCAAGGCGACCUCAGACUCCAGGUCUUUGGGUCAGCAGCCAGAUGGUGGCGAAUCCCCUUUUGCAUCCAACUUCCGCCUUCAACAGACUACCAUAAUAACAUUCCCCCUAAUCCCCGCCUUGUGUGCAGUGCCUUAGUUGAUGUCACGCCCAGCUUCCAAAUGAGGAGGUCUUAGACCCCAUUUCACGGAAGGGGAAACUGAGGCCCAGAGAGAGGAAGUAGUUUACUCUAAGUCACACAGCCAAUUAGAGUCAAGUUACCAGAUGGAUGCAUUAGCUGUGGGCAUAUACAUAGCAGGCACUCAAUGUAAGUAACAAGCUACACAAACUUCUUCCACUGGGCACCACUCCGAUUUGACAGGGCUCUUUGGUCUCCUCACUCCUGGCCCUUUUCCCAGGAGGUCUCUGGAGACUGGGUCCUCUUUGGUGGCCCUGACCCGCUUUGUCCUCAUUCUACCUUGGAGCCGCAUAAAAUCAGUGCUUCCUAGCUGUUUUGAUCAUAGAAAGGUGAGUCAUUGGCUGGUUGGUUAAGGUAGAACCUUAGGUGUAAAGUUUCACCCCAUUGGCCCCUCAUCAUCUCCCCACCCUAGACUUGUCAGCUAGGAGGGAUGUACUUGGCCCAGUGCUCAGUGACUGCAGAGGUUGUGCGGGCCCCUUUCUCUGUUCAGAGAGGGUUAGGAGAAGGGGACAGAAGAGAGUUUC
ensembl:lncRNA